UUUUCUUUUCUUUUCUUUCAUUGAACUCCCAAACGAAAUAUUCAUCUUUUCUCUUCUUUUCCUUUCUUUUCUAAGUUAUCUUUUCUCUUCUCUUCUCUUCCUUCGUCUACUCCCAAACUAAGCCUUAUUUAUCAGUUCUGCACCCGCUGAGAAACUCUAAAACCCUCCCGCCUAAUUCUUAAACCUCAGUUUUUCUGCGUAAAUUAGCAAACAUUAGGAAAAAUGACGAGGAUAGCGCAAGCUCCGAUUCAAUUCACAAAACAGCCCUACAUUGAAGAUGUCGGCCCCCGCAAAAUAGAAAGUAUUCAGUUUUCUACAUUCGGAGAAUCCGAGAUUCUGAAAGCAGCUGAAGUACAAGUAUACCGCGGUGUAUAUUAUGAUUCUGCGAAAAAGCCUUGGGAGAAUGGCUUAUUAGACCCUCAUAUGGGCCCCGCAAACAAGAAUGGAAUUUGUGAAACAUGCCAUGGGAACUUUAGGGAAUGUCCAGGGCACUAUGGAUAUUUGACUCUUGCUCUUCCAGUUUACAAUGUUGGAUACUUGAUUACUGUCCUCGACAUCUUGAAGUGCAUUUGCAAGCAAUGUUCACAUGUGCUUCUCGGGGAGAAAGAACGCCUUAACUUUCUAAAGAAGAUGAGAAAUCCCAAAAUGGAGCCCUUGAGGAAGAGCGAGCUACAAAAAAUGGUAGUGAAGAGGUGUAAUGCCCUAGCAAGUAGCAGAAAAGCAGCUACUUGUUCUAGAUGCGGCUAUGUAAAUGGUAUGGUGAAAAAGAAUACUAAGAUGUUAGGCAUCAUGCAUGAAAGGACAAAAGUCAAUGACAGUUUCUUAAAUGAAUAUGGUUCUGCAAUUUCACACACGAAAGAGUCUAACACAUCCAAUUUUAGUGUUCCCGAUGAAAUUGACCCUAAAGUGGUUUAUUCCCUUCUCAAGAGAAUGCUGGAUGAGGACUGCGAGUUGCUGUAUCUAAAUGAUAGACCUGAGAAACUCAUGAUUUCAACCAUUCCUGUGCCUCCAAUAGCUAUUCGUCCAUCAGUUUUUGUGGAUGGUGGUAUGCAGAGUAACGAGAAUGACACUACAGAGAGACUAAAACGCAUUAUCCAAGCUAAUGCUAGUCUUCGUCAAGAAAUAUCAGACACAAGCCUUCCAUCCAAAAGCUUGAAUGGUUGGAUUGAUCUGCAAGUGGAGGUUGCACAAUAUAUAAAUAGUGAUGUACGUGGAGUUCCCUUAUCUGCACCAGCUACCAAACCUUUAAGUGGUUUUGUCCAGCGUCUGAAAGGGAAGCAAGGAAGAUUUCGUGGAAAUCUAUCAGGAAAACGUGUUGAGUAUACAGGAAGAACUGUUAUAUCUCCUGACCCAAAUUUGAAAAUCACGGAGGUUGCGGUUCCUAUAUUGAUGGCUCAGAUUUUAACGUAUCCUGAGCGAGUGUCCUAUCAUAAUAUAGAGAAGUUGAGGCAAUGCGUGCGAAAUGGGCCUAAAAAGUAUCCUGGAGCAAAAUACAUCAGGCAGCCAGAUGGUACCGAGAUAUCAUUGAAGUUUAGUUCUAGAAAGCGUCAUGCUGAUGAAUUGAAAUUUGGUUACAUAGUUGAUCGUCAUCUAGAAGAUGGAGAUGUUAUUCUCUUUAACAGACAACCGAGUCUGCAUAGAAUGUCCAUCAUGUGUCACAGGGCAAGAAUAAUGCCAUGGCGAACAUUGAGAUUUAAUGAGUCCGUCUGUAACCCAUAUAAUGCUGAUUUUGAUGGUGAUGAGAUGAAUAUGCAUGUGCCUCAAACAGAGGAGGCUCGCACAGAGGCGCUAAUGUUGAUGGGAGUGCAAAACAAUUUAUGCACUCCAAAAAAUGGAGAGAUUUUGGUUGCUUCCACACAGGACUUUUUGACAUCUUCAUUUCUCAUUACAAGGAAGGACACAUUUUAUGAUCGUGCUUCUUUUUCACUUAUGUGUUCAUACAUGGGGGAUGGGAUGGAUCAGAUUGAUUUGCCAACUCCUGCACUACUUAAGCCAGUUGAACUUUGGACCGGUAAACAAUUGUUCACUGUACUACUGCGUCCAUUUGCAAAAAUGAAAGUCUAUGUGAAUCUAACUGUUGCUGAAAAGAAUUACCAAAAGCCCAAAGAAACCAUGUGCCCGAAUGAUGGAUUUGUUUGCUUCCGUAAUAGUGAGCUGAUUAGUGGACAAUUGGGAAAAGCUACAUUAGGGAAUGGGAACAAGGAUGGUCUUUAUUCGGUCCUCCUAAGGGACUAUAAAUCACAUGCUGCUUCAGUAUGUAUGAAUCGCUUAGCAAAGUUGAGUGCAAGAUGGAUAGGGAAUCAUGGAUUUUCUAUCGGCAUUGAUGAUGUGCAACCACCUGAUCGUCUAAUUACUGCAAGGGAUGAAAAAAUUUCCACAGGAUAUGCAAUGUGUGAUGAAUUAAUAGAGAAGUAUAACAAGGGUGCGCUUGAGCUGCAGCCAGGUCAUGAUGCUGCACUGACACUUGAAGCUAAAAUAACAAAAGUUCUAAAUGACAUUCGAGAUAUUGCUGCCAAGGAAUGUUUGACGUGUCUGCAGUGGAGGAAUAGUCCUCUAAUUAUGUCACAAUGUGGUUCAAAGGGAUCUCCUAUAAAUAUCAGUCAGAUGGUUGCAUGUGUUGGACAACAAUCUGUCGGGGGUCGUCGGGCACCAAAUGGUUUCAUUGAUCGCAGCCUUCCUCAUUUUCCCAGAAAGUCAAAGAUCCCGAAGGCGAGAGGGUUUGUGGCAAAUUCAUUUUAUAGUGGUUUAAGUGCUACAGAAUUCUUUUUUCACACAAUGGGAGGAAGGGAAGGCCUUGUGGAUACAGCGGUUAAAACUGCUGAUACUGGAUACAUGUCUCGUAGACUCAUGAAAGCUUUGGAGGACCUUUCAAUUCAAUAUGACAACACUGUCCGAAAUGCUAGUUCUUGUAUAGUUCAAUUUGUUUAUGGUGAUGAUGGCAUGGAUCCCUCACAAAUGGAAGAGAAGAGUGGACAUCCUCUGAACUUUGACAGAUUACUUAUGAAAGUGAAGGCCACCUGUCCUGCCGGUGAUCAGAAGAGCUUGUCCCCAUCGGAUAUCUGCAAAAAGACUGAUGAAAGGCUCUCAGAACGUGAUACGACUCCCGAAGGCGGGUGCUCAGAGGCUUUCAGAGACUCUUUGUCCAAGUUCCUUAAAGUCAAAUGUGUUCAAAACUUGGAAAAAACAAUUGAAAGUUUGAAAGCCCAGGAAGAAGACCAUAACAGCUCUUUCGAAAAUAUCUCUUCAAAUAUAUCCGGCUUUACUUCUAGGCAGCUGGAGGUGUUUUUAAGAGUCUGCAUCUCACGUUAUCAUACCAAAAGGGUAGAAGCUGGAACUGCAAUUGGUGCAAUUGGAGCUCAGAGUAUUGGAGAACCAGGCACACAGAUGACGCUAAAAACUUUUCACUUUGCUGGAGUUGCAAGCAUGAAUGUUACACUUGGAGUCCCACGUAUAAAAGAAAUUAUAAAUGCAGCUAAAAGGAUUAGUACUCCAAUCAUUUCUGCAAAACUGGAGCAUGAGGACAAUGCAAAGGAGGCUAGCCUUGCAAAAGCUCGUAUAGAGAAAACACUUUUAGGGCAGGUAGCCAAAAGUAUAAAGAUUGUCAUGUCGGCGAGGUUAGCAUCCAUAGUAAUUACACUUGAUAUGGAAAUAAUACAAGCAUCUCGGCUUUGUACAGAUGCUUAUAGAGUGAAAGAAUCGAUUCUGCAGACACCAAGAAUCAAACUGAAGGAUCAGGUGUACUAUCAUUUUCUCAUUUAGAUCAUCUACUUUCUCAUAUAUUUGCUCAAAAAAAAAAAAUGUACGGUUUCUGCAGCAUGUUAAGGUCUUGAAUUCCAGAAAGCUGGAAGUAGUUCCCCAGACUGACAGAAGUAAACUUCACUUUGAGCUCCACACACUCAAGAACAAGCUUCCUUCAGUGGUUGUCACAGUAAGACAAGACAUCUAGUUUUGAAAGUCAUCAUAUAAUGGAAUCACCACUAUUGAACGUGUCGUAAUUAAUAGUGAAGAGAAGAAGGAUUCUGGAGGAGGUCCCAAGUACCUCUUGUUUGCAGAAGGGACAGGUCUCCUAGGUGUAAUGGGCACUGAAGGAGUAAAUGGCUAUGAAACCAAAAGCAAUCACAUCAUGGAAGUGCAGCAGACGCUUGGAAUUGAAGCUGCAAGAAGUUCGAUAAUUGAUGAAAUUAAGCAUACCAUGUCUAGUCAUGGAAUGACUAUAGACAUACGUCAUAUGAUGCUUCUGGCAGAUCUGAUGACAUUUAAGGGCGAAGUUCUUGGUAUUACAAGACAUGGUGUUCAGAAAAUGAAAGAUAGUGUGCUAAUGCUGGCUUCUUUUGAGAAGACAGCAGAUCACCUUUUCAAUGCUUCUGUAAAUGGACGGGAUGAUAAGAUUGAAGGAGUAAGUGAAUGCAUCAUUAUGGGAAUACCAAUGCAGUUAGGCACUGGGAUGCUUAAAGUGAGGCAAAGAGUGCAGCAGGUGGAGCUGAAUUAUGGGUUGGACCCAAUCCUGUCCUAAACUUGUUUUCGUGGUGAGACCAGUAUGUUGUGCUACAAAUGUGCAAAAAUGAUCGUAAUUUCUCAAGACGACAUCAAUGUUGAAGGAACUGGACAGAAUUUUCUGAGCGAGCAUUAACCUUGCGGAUUGCUGCGCAUGUUCUUUGGCCCAUUUUUCUCCUCUUAAACAGAAAAGAUUGAGGAUUAUAGAAUAGUAGACUUCAUAAGAGUUUAGUGGACUCUAGCUUUCUCAAAACGGGAGUCCAUGUUUAACCAUGCAAACACAGUAUGAUCCUUGGUAUGUGAUUUGAACGACCUCAUAAUUGUCUAAUAGUUCCAAAUAAUAUAGACAAUCUGCAGAAACAAACAAUGUUGUCUUGAUUCUUUCAAGAUCUCAAUCACAAUAUAAGCGAAAAAUAUGGAAA